AUUGAACGCUGGCGGCAGGCCUAACACAUGCAAGUCGAGCGGAUGAAGGGAGCUUGCUCCUGGAUUCAGCGGCGGACGGGUGAGUAAUGCCUAGGAAUCUGCCUGGUAGUGGGGGAUAACGUCCGGAAACGGGCGCUAAUACCGCAUACGUCCUGAGGGAGAAAGUGGGGGAUCUUCGGACCUCACGCUAUCAGAUGAGCCUAGGUCGGAUUAGCUAGUUGGUGGGGAAAGGCCUACCAAGGCGACGAUCCGUAACUGGUCUGAGAGGAUGAUCAGUCACACUGGAACUGAGACACGGUCCAGACUCCUACGGGAGGCAGCAGUGGGGAAUAUUGGACAAUGGGCGAAAGCCUGAUCCAGCCAUGCCGCGUGUGUGAAGAAGGUCUUCGGAUUGUAAAGCACUUUAAGUUGGGAGGAAGGGCAGUAAGUUAAUACCUUGCUGUUUUGACGUUACCAACAGAAUAAGCACCGGCUAACUUCGUG
rnacentral:rRNA from 1 species